rnacentral:tRNA from 1 species
GAGGGCGUCGCCUAAAGGUAUGGCACCAAACUUUUAAUUUGGUAAAUAGGGGUUCGAUUCCCCUCGCCCUCA